CCUGAGCUACCUAGAACACUCAAGGAGGCUCUGAAUCACCCUGGAUGGAAUGGAGCAAUGACUGAAGAGAUAACCAACUGUGAUGAGACUAAAACUUGGUCGUUGGUAUCACCCCCGGAAGGUGUCAAUCUUCUUGGUUGUAAAUGGGUUCACAGAGUUAAAUUAAACGCAGAUGGAACAUUCUCAAAGUUUAGAUCAAGAGUGGUUGCAAGAGGAGAUGAGCAAGAGGAAGGAGUUGAUUUUCUUGAAACCUACAGCCCUGUUGUUCGUACGGCUACUGUUCGAAUGAUACUUCAUAUUGCAGUGGUUGAAAGAUGGGACAUUAAGCAACUAGAUGUCAAAAAUGCUUUCUUGCAUGGUGAUCUCAGUGAAGCGGUUUAUAUGCGACAACCUCCUGGAUUUGAAGAUAAGGAGAAUCCUCAGUAUGUAUGCAAGCUCCACAAGGCGAUCUACGGCCUAAAACAAGCCCCAAGGGCGUGGUUUGACAAGUUCAGUUCGUUUUUGAUUGAGUUUGGUUUUCUCUGCAACAGUAGUGAUGCUUCUCUGUUUGUGUAUCAGAAAAAUAAAAGCAUUAUCUUCCUUCUUCUCUACGUUGAUGACAUGUUGAUCACAGGAAAUGAUCAACUUCUCAUUCAACAACUGCUGAAGAGUCUCAGCAAGCAGUUUCGGAUGAAAGAUAUGGGACCUCUCAGUUACUUUCUUGGCAUACAAGCUCAGUUUACUCCAACUGGUUUGUUCUUAAAUCAACAAAGGUAUGCAACGGAUCUUCUACAAGCUGCAGGUAUGUCGGAUUGUGCUCCAAUGCCUACUCCUCUUCCUCUACAACUAGACAGAGUGCCUCAUCAAGAUGAAGACUUCUCAAAUCCAACAUAUUUCAGAAGUUUAGCCGGUAAAUUGCAAUAUCUCACACUUACGAGACCGGAUAUUCAAUUUGCGGUCAAUCUUGUUUGUCAGAAGAUGCAUAAGCCUACUGCAGCUGACUUUCAUCUCUUGAAGAGGGUUCUGAGAUAUGUUAAAGGAACACUGGAGAUGGGAUUAACUCUUGAGUCUGAUACAAAUUCUCAAGUUCGAGCUUAUUGUGAUAGUGAU
rnacentral:lncRNA from 1 species